GCAUAUCAAUAAGCGGAGGAAAAGAAACCAACAGGGAUUGCCUCAGUAACGGCGAGUGAAGCGGCAACAGCUCAAAUUUGAAAUCUGGCCCUAGGCCCGAGUUGUAAUUUGCAGAGGAUGCUUUUGGUGCGGUGCCUUCCAAGUUCCCUAGAACGGGACGCCAGAGAGGGUGAGAGCCCCGUACAGUUGGACACCAAGCCUUUGUAAAGCUCCUUCGACGAGUCGAGUAGUUUGGGAAUGCUGCUCAAAAUGGGAGGUAUAUUUCUUCUAAAGCUAAAUACCGGCCAGAGACCGAUAGCGCACAAGUAGAGUGAUCGAAAGAUGAAAAGCACUUUGAAAAGAGGGUUAAACAGCACGUGAAAUUGUUAAAAGGGAAGCGCUUGUGACCAGACUUGCGUCCGGUGAAUCACCCAGCUCUCGCGGCUGGGGCACUUCGCCGGCUCAGGCCAGCAUCAGCUCGCUGUCGGGGACAAAAGCUUCAGGAACGUAGCUCUCUUCGGGGAGUGUUAUAGCCUGUUGCAUAAUACCCUUCGGCGGGCUGAGGUACGCGCUCCGCAAGGAUGCUGGCAUAAUGGUCAUCAGCGACCCGUCUUGAAACACGGACCAAGGAGUCAACCUUAUGUGCGAGUGUUCGGGUGUCAAACCCCUACGCGUAAUGAAAGUGAACGCAGGUGAGAGCUUCGGCGCAUCAUCGACCGAUCCUGAUGUUCUCGGAUGGAUUUGAGUAAGAGCAUAUAGGGUUGGACCCGAAAGAAGGUGAACUAUGCGUGUAUAGGGUGAAGCCAGAGGAAACUCUGGUGGAGGCUCGCAGCGGUUCUGACGUGCAAAUCGAUCGUCAAAUAUGCGCAUGGGGGCGAAAGACUAAUCGAACCUUCUAGUAGCUGGUUUCCGCCGAA
rnacentral:rRNA from 1 species